AUUGAACGCUGGCGGCAUGCUUUACACAUGCAAGUCGAACGGCAGCGCGGGCUUCGGCCUGGCGGCGAGUGGCGAACGGGUGAGUAAUACAUCGGAACGUGCCCAGUAGUGGGGGAUAGCUCGGCGAAAGCCGGAUUAAUACCGCAUACGACCUGAGGGUGAAAGCGGGGGAUCUUCGGACCUCGCGCUAUUGGAGCGGCCGAUGGCAGAUUAGCUGGUUGGUGGGGUAAAGGCCUACCAAGGCGACGAUCUGUAGCUGGUCUGAGAGGACGACCAGCCACACUGGGACUGAGACACGGCCCAGACUCCUACGGGAGGCAGCAGUGGGGAAUUUUGGACAAUGGGCGCAAGCCUGAUCCAGCAAUGCCGCGUGUGUGAUGAAGGCCUUUCGGGUUGUAAAGCACUUUUGGCGGGAACGAAAAGGACUGUGCCAAUACCACGGUUCGAUGACGGUACCCGCAGAAUAAGCACCGCUAACUA
rnacentral:rRNA from 1 species